UGAGCAAUCUGCCCUUCUCAUCGGAAUAAGCGUUGGAAACGACGUCUAAUGCCGAAUACGACCUCCUUUCGCAUGAUCGGAGGUGGAAAGCUCCGGCGGAGAAGGAUGAGCUCGCGGCCUAUCAGCUAGUUGGUGUGGGUAAUGGCCCACCAAGGCGACGACGGGUAGCCGGCCUGAGAGGGUGUCCGGCCACACUGGGACUGAGACACGGCCCAGACUCCUACGGGAGCAG
rnacentral:rRNA from 1 species